AUCACUUCUCGGCCUUUUGGCUAAGAUCAAGUGUAGUAUCUGUUCUUAUCAGAUUAAUACACCAAUCUCAUUUUAUCUCAGAUGUAAGACUCUUCACUGACUUCCCAUUGUUUCUAAGGUAAAGAUGAACAGCCUUGACCGGCGCCACGGCUCACUAGGCUAAUCCUCCGCCUUGUGGCACCGGCACACU